rnacentral:lncRNA from 10 species
CCCAGUCUGAUGUCCCCUGUGCCCGAGAAACAUGAUCCAGAGAUGUCCUUCAUGGAUUAAGUCAUUGAAGAUGACUUACACAAACAGUUUUAAAGCUUCAAAAUUUAUUGCUGUACAUUUUCUCAUAGCAUUUACUAUGGAAAUACUAAUAGUGCAAAUAUUUAUUUUGGACUUCAUAGCAUUUGAGAAAUCACAAAGCUUGUUUAUAUCUUUGCAAUUAUUUAUGAAGAUCUAUAUUAUUUUAAAAAUCCAAACGAGUAAUCUUAUAUUCAAAGAGAUUGUAUAACACUCUCUAGAUCUCCUCUUUAGACCAAAAAAAAAAAAAAAAACACCCUGGAAGCCACCAAGGGCAUUUCUUUCCUUUAUAAUACAUACAGCUUCUAACACUUUUCCAACUGCAUGACUCUUGUUCAUUCACAGAUUCAUUCAACAAAUAUUUAAUGACAAGCUAUUACGUGCCAGGCACUGGGCUAGGCUCGGGGAACAUGAGGAUGAAAAAGCACAAUCUCUGCUUUUACGGUGCUUACAGUCUAAUAGUAGAAACAGACAUGCAAAAAAAAAUUACAAUACAAUACAAUAAAGUGCUUCCAUGGAGGUAUUUACAAAGUGCGGUGGGAACAGGGAAGGCGGGAAAGAACAUCUGCCUGAAGAAAUCAGGGACAGCUUCACAGAGGAGGUAGCCAUUGAGCUGAGACUUCAUCAAUGAUUAGGAAUUCACCAUGUAGACGGGCAGGCAAAGGGUGUUUCAGGCAAAGGGAACAACAGGUACAAAGACACAGAGGCCCAAGGGGCACUUCAAAGAAGCAAGUAAAGAGGUUUUUCUUGAGCUGAAGGUGCAGUGAGGAAUAGUGGCAGCAUGAGGCGGUAGUUAGGGUUAUUAGCAAAUGCCUCUUGGAAAGGAUGUAAAACUCACACCUGCAGGGAUAGCGACAAUAGUGUGCUCCAAUGUGAGCACCCACUAUGUGCCAGGCACUGUGCUACACACUUUA